ensembl:snoRNA
GUGCACAUUUCAUGUCUUUUUUCUUUAUUUCAAGAGAAAAGAUAUUUCCGAUGUGCUAAGCAAACCUCUGGAGGUUAAUUAGCAGUAGGACUAGUUGUUGGUGUCAGUCAUCUUCAAACAAGU